GACGAACGCUGGCGGCGUGCUUAACACAUGCAAGUCGAACGGAAAGGCCCUGCUUUUGUUGGGUGCUCGAGUGGCGAACGGGUGAGUAACACGUGAGUAACCUGCCCUUGACUUUGGGAUAACUUCAGGAAACUGGGGCUAAUACCGGAUAGGAUCUCCUGCUGCAUGGUGGGGGUUGGAAAGUUUCGGCGGUUGGGGAUGGACUCGCGGCUUAUCAGCUUGUUGGUGGGGUAGUGGCUUACCAAGGCUUUGACGGGUAGCCGGCCUGAGAGGGUGACCGGCGACAUUGGGCCUGAGGUACGGCCCAGAAUCCUACGGGCGGCAGCAGUGGGGAAUAUUGCACAAUGGGCGGAAGCCUGAUGCAGCAACGCCGCGUGCGGGAUGACGGCCUUCGGGUUGUAAACCGCUUUCGCCUGUGACGAAGCGUGAGUGACGGUAAUGGGUAAAGAAGCACCGGCUAACUACGUG
rnacentral:rRNA from 1 species